rnacentral:lncRNA from 1 species
GCCAGCUGGGUGCUCUGGAAGCUGAGGAACCAGUUUUGGUGGGCAUCUGGCCAGUUUCUGCCACUGGGCUCAGGAUGAGAACAGCUGGACUGGGCUCUUCCCCGAGGGUAGUGGGGCAGUCUCCUGAUCUGCCCUGAUCACCCCUUUCAGAGCUCUGUCUCCUGCUGGAUGUGACCCCUUUGACCCAGCGAUUCUGCCGUUCCUGAAAUGAUGCUUGGAAUCUCAUUUUCAGUAUUCUCUUUAUAGCCUUUGACCAUUCUCAUAAAUUCAAGUUUUUAUCCUCUGAGGCUUCAUUUGAUGACUGGACUCACCAGAAAUCAUGUGGACCCAAAUCUGGGAACAAGAGGAUCAAUUAAGGCAUCUGUGGGUCGAAAAUGAAGUGUGACCAUAAGGCAAACUGACUCCUGAAUCUCAAGAUGAGAUCCCGACAUGACACGUUCUGAGGACUGACCAGGUCCCUGGGAUAAUUCUGUAAGGCCUCUCAAGGUGCUGAUUUGAAGAACAGCAUUUAUUUAGAUAAACUGUGUGUGAGAGAGAGCGAGAGCAUGUGUGUGCACAUGUCGUGAGCGACUCUAUAGUUUUGGUUCCACACAUCUUUUAUUCAUGAUCUAUGUUGGCCUCGUUUUGCCCAACCAGAGUGAAAGACCUUCGGUAAUAGGGCUGUAUCUUCAGUUAUAAACCAUCCCAAUUCAUGGUUUUUAGUAUUUUUUAUGUACCCUGUCCCACCCAUCCACCCCCCCAACUCAUCUUGGAUUCAUUCAGUCACUCAGCAGUUAUUUAUUGAAUGGCAAAGUGUACAGAGCCAUUUUUUUUUUUAUUCAGAAACUGUGAAACUAGAUGAUAGAUAGCAAUUGCUCCCCCAGUGGUCUGCAGCUCAGUUUGUAGGUGUGUUCUAGAGUGAAGGGGCAGGAAAUGGGCCCAGAUUUCUUGGAUGGCCAGGAAGAAAGGACACUGGACUUGGAAUAAGCUGCACUUGGAUGGGAAGAAAGGACACUGGGCUUGGAAUAAGCUGCACUUGGAUGGUUCACCCAGAAAGUUUUGAGAAGAGUAAUUAUUCAUCACAUUUUCUUAUAGACGGAGGACCCUGGCUCGCCUCUUCUCCAGGCUUUUUUUUACCUUCCUGGGUAAAAACAGUGCCCUGGAAAAUCUUCAUGUUUAUUUUAGAAUUAAUCCUGUUACCCCAAUACACCCAACCUGAGCUUCUCUUCCUUGUGAGCAAUAGGAGGAGGCAUAAGAAGUAGGGGCAGACCCUGUUCGAUAGCUGCAGUUCCAGGGACAAAUUUGAGAAUCCCAUCAUUUCAUCGUGCAGCUGUGUUCAGAGGUGAGGGUGUAAAGCUUUAUUUCUGAAAAUGUGGUUCACACUUAGCUGAUAGAAAAAAUGACUGGGGAUGCUUGCUAAAAUGCAGUUUCCCAGGCCCUUCCCAGAUGUGCUAGACCAGAAUUUCUUGGGUGGGAUCUAGAACAUACAUUUUAUUUAUUUAUUUUUUUUAUUUUGUUGUUGUUGUUGUUGUUGUUGUUGUUGUUGUUGUUGCUAUUUCUUGGGCCGCUCCCGCGGCAUAUGGAGGUUCCCAGGCUAGGGGUCGAAUCAGAGCUGCAGCCACCGGCCUACGCCAGAGCCACAGCAACGCGGGAUCCGAGCCGUGUCUGCAACCUACACCAUAGCUCACAGCAACGCCGGAUCAUUAACCCACUGAGCAAGAGCAGGGACCGAACCCGCAACCUCAUGGUUCCUAGUCGGAUUCGUUAACCACUGCGCCACGACGGGAACUCCUAGGACAUACAUUUUAAAGUAACCCCUCCCCCAGCUGAUUUUCUAAACUCUGAGGAGCACAGAUGGAAAGGUUUUGGGCUGACCUGAGCCUGAGACCCAUUUCCAUCAGCUCCAGGGUCUCUGAUGAGCCGCAGCAGUCCCAGACCAGAGCUCCAUCUGCUGUGUGCUGGAGAGGCAUGCCGGCCCAUGCUGGGGUCUGACAAACCAAACUGUGGGAGCCACUCUCCCAUGGACCACACUGAUGAGCCAGAGACAAAGCACUGCCGAACAUCAUUCCACUAAGAACAGUGAGGGGGGCUGCACCACCUUCCUGUGCACAGAUGUGUAUGUGUUUGCAGCUGUGGGUCUCUUUGCAGGCCUGGGUAUACACAUUUUGUCCUCUCUGCCACUGGCUGGUACAGCCCCUCCCUGACCUCUCAGCCCAGCCUCCACCUCCAUUCCUUCCAGUUCCUGCCUCUCAGGGUGCUAGAGAGGUGCCUACCGGGGCUCCCAUCUGCAACUGGGGUCCUGUGAUUCAUGGUCAAAUCCUUAGAAAUAAGAAAAUCUUUACUGAGCCAGGCAUUAUCCUCGACACCCAUAUGCAUUGUCUCCUUUGAUCCUCAGAAAAACUCAGUGAGGUAGGGGUUGUUAUUUCCCCCAUUUUAAAGAUGAAGAAAUUGAGGCUCGGGAAAGUUUUUAGCUAGUAAGUGGUCCUAUGGGAUUUGAACUCACAUCAUUCAUUGUUCACGGUCCCAUGCAGGCUGGCCCAGACCCUAAGUCCUCAACAGCUUCUUCACCUCUAGGGUAGGUGUUGGCAAACUAUAGUCCCAUGUGCCCAAUCAAGCCCAGAGCCUGUUGUUUUUUAAAUGGGGGUGAAAUUCAUAUGAAAUAAAAUUAACCAUUAUAACCACUGCCUGUUUUUGAAAAUAAAGCUUUAUUGGCACAGAGCCAGGCCCAUUGAUUCACGCGUGGCUUGUGGCUGCCUUCCCACCGCAAUGGCAGAGUGGAAUGGCUGUGACAGAGGCCACAUGUUACUCAAAGCCUAAGAUAUUGACUAUCUGGCUCUUUAUGGAAAAAGUUUCCUGGGAGGUCCUGUUGUGGCUUAGCAGGUUAAGAACCUGACUAGAAUCCAUGAGGAUGCAGGUUCAAUCCCUGGCCUUGCUCAGUGAGUUAAGGAUUUGGUGUUGCCACAAGCUGCAGGGUAGGUCACAGAUGUGGCUUGGAUCUGGUGUUACUGUGGCUGUGAUAUAGGCUGGCAGCUGCAGCUCUGAUUUGAUCCCUAGCCUGGGAACUUCCAUAUGCCGGCAGUGUGGCCCUAAAAAGAAGUUUCCCGGCACCUGCUUUAGAGGGUUUGAUCUGGAUCUGGGCCCUUGGGAGUGAGUUUCCUCAGACAUCUGUCACCAUUAAGAAAGUAAUGGUGACAUUACUAUCAUUCCUGAAAGUAAACUUUCCUCUUUGAUGGGGUGCUAUGCAUCAUGGACCUGACUCCUCAAGUACCCCAAUUUCUCCUCCUUCCUCCAGUGUCCAUCCCCAUACAGGUCAGUUCUGGCAAACACACACCUUGGGCCCGAUCUGCCAGGUGCCUCCCCAUUUUUCUUUCUUCCGCUGCCGACUGGUGUGGGUGGUUUAUGCCUGGGCAUCCCCCUUGCUCUCCUGAUAGUUUGUUUCCCUCCUGACCUCUGCAACCCAACUAGUGUCCUUCAGCCAGCCUUUUGCAUCUCUACAUGGAUGUCUUGGAGUUACACGAAAUCCGGGCACUCCCCCGGCAUCCUUUGCUGAGGCCACUUUAUCCAUUAACUUGCCAUCUCAUCUCAGUUACUUUGGGGCCUUCUUCGCCUCUCUCUUUCCUUACAUCUGUUCUGUUGCCAGACUCUGUUGCCUUUUGGGGAAAUAUCUCUUGGGCAGCUCUCUUCCUCGUUCCCACCAGCAAUUCCUCGGUCCAUGCCUUCAUCACGUCAGGUCAGGAUGGCUCCGGUGGUUCCUGACUGCUCUCCCUCCCUCCCAGUCUCUUUUCUGAUCUGCUCUCUCUAGCUCCAUUUUCAAACACUGAGAGUGCGAGUCAUAUCAGGCCCUUGGAGUUGCCUUCUCCAUCCUUUCCAGCCUCUUCUCCCCACAUUGUGCUGAACACAGCGGGUCUUCAUAGGACUCAGCACCUGUACAACAUGCUUUAUUUCGCUUAGCCUGUUCUCCUUUGUUUGGUAAACUCCUAAGCAUUCUUUAAGAAAUAAUUCUUUGUCUUUUUUUUUUUUUUUUUUUCUUUUUAAGGCUGCACCUGGGCACAUGGAAGUUCCCAGGCUAGGGGUCCAAUCAGAGCUACAGCUGCCAGCCUCCACCACAGCCACAGCAACACAGGAUCUGAGCCACUCACACACAGCAACCUACACCACAGCUCACAGCAAUGCCAGAUCCUUAACCCGCUGAGGCCAGGGAUCAAACCUGCAUCCUCAUGGAUACUAGUCAGGUUCAUUAGCCACUGAGCCACGACAGGAACUCCUAAUGUAAAAGCUCAUCCCACAAAUAUUUUUUUUCAAACAUAUUUGGUUCUGUGUAACAGUUUGGUAAAGAGAAGACACAGAAAAGCAAAGCAGAAAAAAAGGAGGAUGAGGUGACUGAGAAAAGGCAGUGGAAGCAAGUCUUGAUGGAGACACAGAGAAGUGGAUGGGCCAGGAGGCCCUCAGCAGCGUGAAGUGAGACGAGAGGAAAAGUGGAGCUUGUGAUGCCCAGAAACGGCCCACGGAGGAGACUCCUGAGAGCAGAAAGCAACACGAAGGCCAGGAGAAAGGGGAGUCCAGUGGGGUACAGGGGGAGAUGGCGCCCCAGCCUCGCCGGCCGAGGCAGAGAGGGCAGCCGGUGCAGGGAGCAGUGUGGGUGUGGGGAGUCGGCAUGGAGGUGAGUUCAGGACUUGCCCCCAGUUGCUCACCUGGGCUGUGUGAGGGGUGUGAGUUAAUCACCACUUUUUGAAAGACAGGGGAGCUUACAGUCCCACAAGGACACCUUCCCAGGGACCCGGAUCCGGACCUUACACUUGGCAAGUCCUCACUAAAUUCGUGUUGACUUAUGGAUUGAAUGAAAUGAUGCCUCCACACCCAGGACCCCCUGCCCACGGCGAGAACGUGUGCACCUUCCUGAGGGCCUCGGCCACUCUGCCUGGUGUCCUGGCAUCCCAGGAAUUUCCCUGCCUGCUCUGGGGAGGAUUUUCCACGCUAGAAGCUUUUGCAAAAUCAGACCGCUUUAUCAGAAUCCCGUUGCGCUGGAGAAUGUUCCUGGCUGCUUGACGUUUACAGUGUGUGACCGAUUUUAUCACAGGAAUGUUGUUUGGAAAGAAACGGUCCUCGCAGAUGGGCAGACAAGAGAUGGAAGGUCAUUCGAGGACCCACCCAAGCUGUCGAAGUUGGAGCUCAGGGUUGCUGUACAUGAUGCUUGGGAGCCUGGCCAAGCCGUGAGCAAGCCUUCCUCCCUGGAGGAGGUCCCAGCACGGCUGUGGCGGGCUUGCCUUGCCGUGUUUACAUUUUCACCUUGGCCUCCAAAGCAAACGCCUCUGGAGCCCUGCACCAGCGGGGCCAAGCAGCAGCAAGGACUCCCCAGGCUUGGGGUCCAGCAGGCAGCCCAGCUUGGCCUGGACAGAACAAAUCUGUCCCUGACAUACUGGAAAGGGACAGAAAGGGCCUCUCCCAGGAGGUCAAAAAAUCGGGAGCCAGGUUUACUCCUUUAAUCCUUUGUCAAAAUCCCAAGACUCUGCUCACUGGAACUCUGAACAAAACAGUGGGGAUAUAGCAAGCGGUCCCUCUCCUGGUACAGCCCUGGUGCUGUCAACGCUGGCACGGCAGCUUCUGUCUGCAGGGGUUUGGAUGUGUCGUGGGCAGAGUAGGAUGCAGAGACUGAGACUGAGAUGGAAAGGAGAGGUCAGGAGAGGGCAGAAGUCUUUGUUCCUGGUGGGAGGGACUCCACCCUGACAUGGGAGAGGCUGGCGUGGCACAGUUCGGCCCGAGGUUGCUGGAUGCUGGUCAACAGAGAGGAGCCAGCUGGAAAGAGCCAGUGCUGCUGGACACUGUCUGCUAAUCUCUGAGGGCCCUGAACAGGGGCAGGGGGUGCCAGCACGUGGGUCUCAUUCUCUACAGCUCUUUUUCAGCUUUUUCAUUCUAGUGGGUGGAAGCCUGUCCCCAGAGAGAUUUAUUCAAACCCUAACCCCUGGUACCUGUGGCUUUAUUUGAAAAGAUCUUUGCAGAUGUAAGCAAGUAAAAUGAGAUCAGACCGAAUUAGGCUGGGCUCUGAACCCCAGGACUGGUGUCCUUAUAAGAAGUCCAGGUGACAACACACAGCACAGGAAGGAAGAAGGCCAGGUGGUGAUAGAGGCAAGGACCAGAGUGAUGCAUCCACAAGCCAAGGGACACCAAGGCUUGCCAGCCGCCACCAGAAAUUGGGAAGAGGUGAGGGAGAACCGUCUCCUAGAACCUUCAGAGGGAACACAGACCAGCCGAUACCCUGAUUUUGGACUUUCAGCCUCCGGAUCUAUGAGAAGAUAAUCUUCUGUGUUUUAAGCUACCCAGUUUAUCAGUGUUUUGUUUACAGUAGGCCCAGGAGAUGAGUAUAUUCGUGUUUCUCAAAAUUUCAUCUCCUGAGGCCCUUCCCCUUCGGUCCCUCCACUCUUAGCAAAGAGCCUUGGAUUCAUUAUU